rnacentral:rRNA from 1 species
AUGCAGUCGAACGGCAGCACAGGGUAGCUUGCUCCUGUGGUGGCGAGUGGCGGACGGAUGAGGAAUACAUCGGAAUCUACUCUGUCGUGGGGGAUAACGUAGGGAAACUUACGCUAAUACCGCAUACGACCUACGGGUGAAAGUGGGGGACCGCAAGGCCUCACGCGAUUGAAUGAGCCGAUGUCGGAUUAGCUAGUUGGCGGGGUAAAGGCCCACCAAGGCGACGAUCCGUAGCUGGUCUGAGAGGAUGAUCAGCCACACUGGAACUGAGACACGGUCCAGACUCCUACGGGAGGCAGCAGUGGGGAAUAUUGGACAAUGGGCGCAAGCUKAUCCAGCCAUACCGCGUGGGUGAAGAAGGCCUUCGGGUUGUAAAGCCCUUUUGUUGGGAAAGAAAUCCUGUUGGUUAAUACCCGGCAGGGAUGACGGUACCCAAAGAAUAAGCACCGGCUAACUUCGUGCCAGCAGCCGCGGUAAUACGAAGGGUGCAGCGUUACUCGGAAUUACUGGGCGUAAAGCGUGCGUAGGUGGUGAUUUAAGUCCGUUGUGAAAGCCCUGGGCUCAACCUGGGAAUUGCAGUGGAUACUGGGUCACUAGAGUGUGGUAGAGGGUGGCGGAAUUCCCGGUGUAGCAGUGAAAUGCGUAGAGAUCGGGAGGAACAUCCGUGGCGAAGGCGGCCACCUGGGCCAACACUGACACUGAGGCACGAAAGCGUGGGGAGCAAACAGGAUUAGAUA